rnacentral:lncRNA from 1 species
UAUGGCUAACAGGAUUUGUCAGUGAUUUGGGCAUAACAGUGGAUAGAGCAGUGGUUCAAUGUGACAGUCAAAGUGCAGUUCAGCUAACAAAGCACCUGGUUUACCAUGAAAGAACCAAGCAUAUUAAUGUUAAACUACAUUUUAUAAGAGAUGUAGUUAAGUCAAGGCAAGUGUUGAUUUAAGAGGUGGAUACUUUAGAGAAUGCAGCAGAUAUGUUCACUAAAGUUCUACCUGGUCCUAAGUGGAGAUUGUUGGAGUUAGUUGGAAUAAAGUCUAACACUGGAGUUAGUUGGAAUAAAGUCUUAACACUUUAGACUGAAUUAACAAGUGCAGGAUAAAUGCAGGGACCAGUUAUGUAACUUUAGCACAGUUUAGUUCUUUCUUAGAAUGUAUUAGAAGUACAGGGGUCUGUUGUGUCAGUAUUGAAAGUUGUUUGUUAAGAGUCUGUUAUUAGCAGUUGCUAAUUGGGUUUAAAUAGUGAAUUGGGGAUUAGGGUUGGAUACCACAAUCAAUUGAGAGUCUCUAAUUUCUU